rnacentral:rRNA from 1 species
UACGAAGGGGGCUAGCGUUGCUCGGAAUCACUGGGCGUAAAGCGCACGUAGGCGGAUCUUUAAGUCAGGGGUGAAAUCCUGGAGCUCAACUCCAGAACUGCCUUUGAUACUGGGGAUCUCGAGUCCGGAAGAGGUGAGUGGAACUCCGAGUGUAGAGGUGAAAUUCGUAGAUAUUCGCAAGAACACCAGUGGCGAAGGCGGCUCACUGGCCCAGUACUGACGCUGAGGUGCGAAAGCGUGGGGAGCAAACAGG